GGGGACAUAGUAUAGUGGUAGUACACUAGCUUCGCAUGCUAUAGACCGGAGUUCGAUUCCCCGUGUCUCCA
rfam:Absidia repens strain NRRL 1336 BCR42scaffold_28, whole genome shotgun sequence.